CUCAUUCUGUUUCCAUUCAUCCUUCUUUUCUUAGCCAAACAAAAAGGAAAAAAUAAAUAGUGUUGGUGAUUUAAAAAAAAACACAAAUCUCUAUUUUUCUAUUAGAUUUAAGGUCCCAUUCAAGAAGUGUUAGGAAGAAAAGUUGCUCUCCUCUACAAGGUGGUGAUUGUGAGCUAAUUUAUUUGAGGGUACAAGGAAAUUGCGAGGUGUCAUUGGAAUCGUCAGAUAAGUUAUGCUGGCGUAACGUAAUUUUCUUGUGUAAUAAAGCACUGCCGAGGUUCUUAGAGUUUUGAGUCGUACUAGAAUUUCAACAACGUCGAAGACGUGACAUAGCGAUAAUUUUGGAUUGGUAAUCGGAAGCAAUGAGGCUUGAUGCCACUCGUGGAUCCUCGGUUAGAUUAAUGAUCAGCUUAGGGUUUUAUUUAAGAAUUUUAUUUAUUCUCUCUUCCUUAUUGCAAUGAUGUUGUUGCAAUGGAAUUUAUGUAUUUGAACCAAUUGGUAAUUUUUUUUAGUCAAUAUGAAUUGUUUGGUUGUAAGUAAGUCUGU